UUUUUUUUUCUCAAAUGGAUAACCCAAUAUUGUAUUUUUCUUACCAAUUUUUAUAUAAUAUUCCUGGCCUUUCUCUUUCAAUUGCCCUUUGCAGCUACAUGACACAUGGCAGUGAGUGGCUGUGACGUUCCAUUCCCAUUAGAUUAUAAAUAUAGAACAAAAAAUCUCCAUCAGAUUGCAAAACAUCAGGCUAAUCAAGGGCAGCUUUGCUCUUCCGUCCAGAUAUUGGCUUUGGUAAACCAUCAAAUAUAGGUAUAUUUAUUGCUGCAGAUGAGAGAGCCUGCAGGUCAUGUUUCAAACUCCACUUAGAAGUUGGCCAAACAGAAGAAGUAUUAUUGUCGUCUUGGUCAAGCAGACUUGGUGUACUUGAUGAUUUACGAACUCCAGUCAGUAGUCCAUCAGAAAUAAAAGAAUCUCCCAAACCCACUGGUAUAGAAUUUAACCAUCCCGGCUCUGAUUCAGCAUAGAGCACUGUUCGGCUCGCUGAUUUUGGUCUCAUAGCUAAACCCUUUCCUGCUACAGUUGAGAAAUCACUGCUUCCACCGCUGUUCUCUUCCUUCAGCAACCUUUCUGGUUUUCCAGUUCUAAAAUCUGCUUCAGAUUUCUGGCGUCUCCUGACAGACUUCUCAUUGGACUUGUCACCUUCUACAUCUCCAGCAUCUGCAAGAGGCAUGUAAUCUACCACAGUACCAUCCUCAGGGGUUAAACCAUUAGCAAAAUUCUGUGAUUUGAGAUUGUGGUAUGGAGACUCAUAGAUUGGUGUGGUUCUAGACGAUAGCCCCUCAGUUAGGGAAUCUGAGCUUCCUGUUCUGUGAACUGCCACUCCUGUGCCUCCAGCUGCACCCAUGUGAUUUGAAGAUUUGAGACCAUAGUACUUCUGUAAAGUGCUCAUAGCUGGAGAAACCUUCUGUUGGGCUGAUUUCAAUCUUAAGGACUCAAAUGAUUCCAACCCAUUGGAGUAGCAAGGACGUGGUGGUGUUUUAUCAAGGUUGUUCCCUCUGCAGAAGUUUAAUUUUGACUAUGACUACAAGUUUGGUGCAGAAAUCUGUGUCAAAAUCUUUCAUGCAUUUAAAUAUUUGGGAUUUUAUGGUAUCACCAAAUACUUAAAAAAUAUUAAUCUGGAACAGUAUGCCAUUUAUGCUCAAUUUUUAUUUGUAGAUGUCUUACAAAACCAAAGCAACUGAGUGCUAAUCAAAGCAUCUUCCAUUGGACAUUUGCAAAAGGAAAUAAUUAAAUGGACUAAUACAAUUUUAAGGCUGGAAAAAGAUAUUUUAUUAAGAGAGUAAGAACAGAGAUCAAACAUGGAGGAUUAGAUAUCCUCCUAUACAGCAACACACAAGAUAGUGAACACAAAACAAAACCAAGAAAGUAGCAUUGUCCAAUCUAGUUGAAUACUCAUGCAUAAUUAGAUACUUAAAGUCUGUGAAGCACAAGCCCAUAAAGAAACCAAUAAAACCACCUUACCUCACCCAAAGUUGACUAAAGGAGAAAAUAUGAUAUUUGAAAAUAUGAGUUCUUCUCCAUCCAAAUACUCCAUAAAACAACAAAAAGCACACAAGAUUCAAUGAACUAGUACAUUUAGCCAUUUGUUAAAGGUGUUUGGUUAAGCUGUUGCAAGCAAGGAUUAACUCUAUAACCUCCUAAUAACAGCGAAUCUGUUCGGUUAACAAAUGGAAGUAUUAGCUGUUAAUUGUAUGAGAUUUCAAUAGCUGAUUCAAAAUGCUCAAUUUAGAUUUUUUUUCCCCAUCAAAUAAUAGUAGCCAAUAAUUUUUUUAAUAGUAGGCUUAAAUCAUUCCCACAAACUAAUUAUCAAGUACAAGCUUAUCGUUUUAUAAACGAAAAAAGAGAUACAAAUGCUACCUCACACCUCCAAUAGAAGAAUUAAGCUUUUUGCAACCAUACACAUCUAUAAGGACUUCCACUACACCUACGAAAGCUCAAGAUCUCUGUGCUUAAAUAAUAUGACAUAUUAUAAUAUAUCAUCAAAUUGUUUAUAAUUGAUGUCAAUGAUAAACCAUUAUCAAGUCCAAUGUAAAAUAUUUGACUAACCAUUAUAUUUACAUUAUUAAAUAUCAUAUUGAAACAAAAUUUCCAUUAAUAACAAAAUAGACCCAAAGUACAUAUCAUGUGUCAUGAUUGACAAAAGAAAAUCAUCUAAAGCCUAAUUAUUGAAUUCUGUGGAAAAUGUAUCAAUUAAAUGAAGUCUUAAUCCUUUUAAGUUUCUAGCAUGCAAAAUCCAUAGAAUCUCUAUCUUCACCAUCGUACAAGCUUGCAUCACUAAAUUUGUGACCCUCGAUUUGAAUAUCAUCAGCAUCUCCCUCUUCAACGUUUAAUGCCCAGGACUUUGAAGCCUUUGUUUCCCCUAAAAUUUAAUUCUUGCAGUUCCUUUUCUUCAUUAGCGUCAUCUCUAAAUCUGAAGUUAUCAAAAUCACGCAAUGAACCACAAGAUUUACUCUUUGUCAUUUUUUUCCUUCCCCUUAAGUUUUCCUUUUUCUCCUUGUAGUCAUAAAUGCUAGAUCUAAUUUCAUUUUUAUUGAAACUAAGGAAAGGGACUAGUCUGUAGCUACAGUAGUAGGUAGCAAAAUAACAAUAGAGGAAAAUUUUCCCUUUAGGCUUUAGCUUUUAGAACUCCAGCUAAGUAGUUUGCGCUUAGCCGGU
rnacentral:misc_RNA from 1 species